rnacentral:rRNA from 16 species
AAGUUGUUGCAGUUAAAAAGCUCGUAGUUGGACCUUGGGCCGGGUCAGCCGGUCCGCCUCACGGCGAGCACCGACCUACUCGACCCUUCCGCCGACAUCGCGCUCCUAGCCUUAAUUGGCCGGCUCGUGUUUUCGGCAUCGUUACUUUCAAGAAAUUAGAGUGCUCAAAGCAAGCCAUUGCUCUGGAUACAUUAGCAUGGGAUAACAUCAUAGGAUUCCGGUACUAUUGUGUUGGCCUUCAGGAUCGGAGUAAUGAUUAAUAGGGACUGUCGGGGGCAUUCGUAUUUCAUAGUGAGAGGUGAAAUUCUUGGAUUUAUGAAACACGAACAACUGCGAAAGCAUUUGCCAAGGAUUUUUUCAUUAAUCAAGAACGAAAGUUGGGGGCUCGAAGACGAUCAGAUACCGUCCUAGUCUCAACCAUAAACAAUGCCGACCAGGGAUCGG